UGCUGGGCAAGGAGUCUACAUCAAUCAAGAAUCCUGGAUGGAGAUGCAGAAAGCGGAGAGCGACUCUAUGUUUUGUAAAAUCACGGCCUCUUCCAUUUGGCCAGUGGAAGUGCUUUUAGAGAAGUCAGUGACCGGCACCCUCUCAAACAAAGCAAAAGCAGCGGGGCAAGAAAAAGCAUUUGCCCCACUUACUCCGCACAAGGUGCAGGCUCUCUCAGGCUGCUUUUGGCUAUACCUAAGGGAGAGGGGGUACCGCCAGGCUGAAAGGGCAGCCCGGCACCAGAAGAUGCGCCGGUACCUGUCCGAAAAGCUGUCGGAUCUGAGGAGAAAUCGCUAAAAAGGCUCAUCCCUUUGCCCUGUCCUGCCCCAACGUAUGGUCCCGCCACGGACUGCUCAUGCUGCUGCAGGUCUGCCAUCGCUUGCACUCGAUGCAGCCUUUUCACCGUUUUUUUAUAUUAAUUUAGCUUAAGUUAUAUAUUGGAAAUACUGUUGAAAUGGAACAAAUGUAUUAUUGCAGCCAAUACGAGCUGAAAUGCCACUACGCGUGGCGCACGAUACUAUGAGAGUUGUCUCUCGGAUUGUUCAGUAAACCUCAGCAUGCGCUGAGGUGGAGACAAAUCGCUUGCGCUCAUUGCACCACUAUGCCGUUCCGUGUCAAAAUCUAGCUCAUAGUGGUGCAAUGAGUGCAAUCAGCAAUCUGCCUAAACCUCAGCAAACACUGAGGUUCGCUGAAAAAUCUGACAGGUGGUGCUGAUAGUACCCCAUGCCACGCGUCAUGGCAUUUCAACUCAUAUUAGUCACGAUGUUACUUCCUCAAAUGUUGUGGUUUUUCUGUACCAUAUGCUCCCAGCAAAGCAAUGUAUAAUGUCAUAAUUUCAUA